GAUGAACGCUGGCGGCGUGCCUAACACAUGCAAGUCGAGCGAGGGUUUGCUCAGUAUUGAGUAUUCUAAGUCUAGAAUGUUCAAUUCUGAGCAAAACCAAGCGGCGGACGGGUGAGUAACGCGUGGGUAACCUGCCCUAUACACAUGGAUAACAUACUGAAAAGUUUACUAAUACAUGAUAAUAUAUAUUUGCGGCAUCGCAGAUAUAUCAAAGUGUUAGCGGUAUAGGAUGGACCCGCGUCUGAUUAGCUAGUUGGUGAGAUAACUGCCCACCAAGGCGACGAUCAGUAGCCGACCUGAGAGGGUGAUCGGCCACAUUGGAACUGAGACACGGUCCAAACUCCUACGGGAGGCAGCAGUGGGGAAUAUUGCACAAUGGGCGAAAGCCUGAUGCAGCAACGCCGCGUGAACGAUGAAGGUCUUCGGAUCGUAAAGUUCUGUUGCAGGGGAAGAUAAUGACGGUACCCUGUGAGGAAGCCCCGGCUAACUACGUGCCAGCAGCCGCGGUAAUACGUAGGGGGCUAGCGUUAUCCGGAUUUACUGGGCGUAAAGGGUGCGUAGGUGGUCCUUCAAGUCGGUGGUUAAAGGCUACGGCUCAACCGUAGUAAGCCGCCUAAACUGGAGGACUUGAGUGCAGGAGAGGAAAGUGGAAUUCCCAGUGUAGCGGUGAAAUGCGUAGAUAUUGGGGAGGAACACCAGUAGCGAAGGCGGCUUUCUGGACUGCAACUGACACUGAGGCACGAAAGCGUGUGUAGCAACAGGAGUAGAUACCCUGGUAGUCCUAGGGCGAAUUCCACAGUGUAUAUCAUGCUUAUCGAUCCCGUCGACCUCGAGGGGGGGCCCGGUACACCAGCUUUUGUUCCCUGUUAGUGAGUGGUUUAUUAACUGUGUGCUGUGCCUUCCUGCUGUGUGUUCUAUAUUGCCCUGUGGUUUGUGUGUUUGUGUUUGCUGUGUUGCUGGUGUGUGGUUGUGUUUGUUUGUUUGUGUGUGUUGUGUGUGUGUUUUGGUGUUGUGUGAUGUGUGUGUGUUGUUGUUUGUUGUUGCUAAUGAUGUGUGGUUGCAUGGUGUGAUGUGUAUAUGAGUGUGUGAUGGUGCUGAUGGUAUGUAUGAUGUUGUGGCUGAAGAUGUGAAGCAUUUUGCUUUGUAGUGUGAGUGAUGUAUAGAUGCUGAUGAUGUGUCUGUCUGUUGUUUUGUGUGUUUGCUGCUGUUAUC
rnacentral:rRNA from 1 species